rnacentral:rRNA from 1 species
CACGUAGGGCGCAAGCGUUGUCCGGAAUUAUUGGGCGUAAAGAGCUCGUAGGCGGUCUGUUGCGUCUGCUGUGAAAACUCGGGGCUUAACCCCGAGCCUGCAGUGGAUACGGGCAGACUAGAGGUAGGUAGGGGAGAAUGGAAUUCCCGGUGUAGCGGUGAAAUGCGCAGAUAUCAGGAAGAACACCCGUGGCGAAGGCGGUUCUCUGGGACGGUACUGACGCUGAGACGCGAAAGCGUGGGGAGCGAACAGG